CGUGCGGCAGCUAACACAUGCAGUCGAACGGCAGCACAGGGGAGCUUGCUCCCUGGGUGGCGAGUGGCGGACGGGUGAGGAAUACGUCGGAAUCUGCCUAUUUGUGGGGGAUAACGUAGGGAAACUUACGCUAAUACCGCAUACGACCUACGGGUGAAAGCGGAGGACCUUCGGGCUUCGCGCAGAUAGAUGAGCCGACGUCGGAUUAGCUAGUUGGCGGGGUAAAGGCCCACCAAGGCGACGAUCCGUAGCUGGUCUGAGAGGAUGAUCAGCCACACUGGAACUGAGACACGGUCCAGACUCCUACGGGAGGCAGCAGUGGGGAAUAUUGGACAAUGGGCGCAAGCCUGAUCCAGCCAUGCCGCGUGUGUGAAGAAGGCCUUCGGGUUGUAAAGCACUUUUGUCCGGAAAGAAAAGCACCGGGUUAAUACCCUGGUGUCAUGACGGUACCGGAAGAAUAAGCACCGGCUAACUUCGUGCCAGCAGCCGCGGUAAUACGAAGGGUGCAAGCGUUACUCGGAAUUACUGGGCGUAAAGCGUGCGUAGGCGGUUUGUUAAGUCUGAUGUGAAAGCCCUGGGCUCAACCUGGGAAUGGCAUUGGAUACUGGCAACCUAGAAUGUGGUAGAGGGUGGCGGAAUUCCCGGUGUAGCAGUGAAAUGCGUAGAUAUCGGGAGGAACAUCCGUGGCGAAGGCGGCCACCUGGACCAACAUUGACGCUGAGGCACGAAAGCGUGGGGAGCAAACAGGAUUAGAUACCCUGGUAGUCCACGCCCUAAACGAUGCGAACUGGAUGUUGGGCUCAAUUGAGAGCUCAGUAUCGAAGCUAACGCGUUAAGUUCGCCGCCUGGGAAGUACGGUCGCAAGACUGAAACUCAAAGGAAUUGACGGGGGCCCGCACAAGCGGUGGAGUAUGUGGUUUAAUUCGAUGCAACGCGAAGAACCUUACCUGGGCCUUGACAUGUCCGGAACCCUUGAGAGAUCGAGGGGUGCCUUCGGGAACCGAACACAGUGCUGCAUGCUGUCGUCAGCUCGUGUCGUGAGAUGUGGGUUAAGUCCCGCAACGAGCCGCAACCCUUGUCCUUAGUGCCAGCACGUAAUGGUGGGA
rnacentral:rRNA from 1 species